UUUUCUUGAUCUUUUUUGUUUGACUUUGUUUUGUUAUGUUGAUUUUAAAAGGUUUAUUUUAUUUUAUGCAUGUGUGUGUGUGUAAACGCAUGUGCACUGUAUACAAGUAGGACUCCUCAGAGGUCAGAGGUCAGAUCCUCUGGAACUGGAGUUACAGAUAGCUGUAAGCAUCACUAUGGGCUCUGGGAUGCAAACUCAGGUCCUAUACUAAAGAGUAAGUGCUUUCAAUUCUCCCUCCAGCCCCCAAUGCUUUGUUUGAAGAGACAAGAUCUCACUAAGUAGUUCUCGCUGUUCUGGAGCUCCAUAUGUAGACCAGGUUAGCCUUGAAGCUUCUGCAGUAUCUGUGCUCUGUAUAGACCAGGUUAGCCUUGAAGUUGCUGCAGUACCUGCGCCUCCAUGUCCUGAGUCCCCCGAAUACAAGCAUGUGUGAGUACCGUGUGUACACAUUCCCGUGGAGUUGGAAAGAGGGUAUCAGAUCCCCUGGAGUGAGGCAGUUGUGGUUCAUUUGGCUGUUUAGGCCAAACUUAGAUCUUAGCGGAGCUUUCUUUAGUUUUAGAAAGUUAAGUCACUGUGUGAAAUGGUAUAUAUAUUACCUUGUAAAGAUGGAGACUGAUAUAACAUAGUCGACCUAAUGCUGUUUAUAACAUUCAGAGCUCACCAGUAUUUGUCAGCCUGGAAAGUCAUUAAAAUAUUAACAAGAUACAUUUCCUUCUUUCCUUCCUUCCUUCCUUCCUUCCUUCCUUCCUUCCUUCCUUCCUUCCUUCCUUCCUUCCCUGCCUGCCUGCCUGCCUGCCUGCCUGCCUGCCUGCCUUCCUUCCUUCCUUCCUUCCUUCCUUUCUUUCUUUCUUUCUUUCUUUCCUUCUUUCUUUCUUUCGACAGGGUUUCUCUGUGUAGCCCUGGAUGUCCCGGAACUCACUUUGUAGACCAGGCUGGCCUCGAACUCAGAAAUCCACCUGCCUCUGCCUCCUGAGUGCUGGGAUUAAAGGUGUGCACCACCAUGCCCGGCCUUUUUUUUUUUUUUCUUUUUUCUUUUUAUUCGAUAUUUUCUUUAUUUACAUUUGAAAUGUUUUCUCCUUUCCACGUCUCCUUUUCAAAAACCCUCUAUCCAACCCCCCCACACGUCCUGCCUCUGUUAGGGUGCUCUCCUACCCACCCACCCAUUCCUGUCUUCCUGCUUUGGCAUUCUCCUACACUGGGGCAUCAAACACCCUCAGGCCCAAAGAACCACUCUCCCACUGAUGUCCAACAAGGCCAUCCUCUGCCACAUAUGUGGCCAGAGCCAUGGGUCUCUCCAUGUGUACUCCUCUUUGGUUGGUGGUCCAGUCCCCAGGAGCUGGGGGGAUGUGUGUGUCUGGCUGGUUGACACUGUUGCUCCUCCCACUGGGCUGCAAAACCUCUCAGCUCCUCAGUCCCUUCUCUAACUACUCCAUCGGGAACCCUGUGCUCAGUCGAAUGGCUGGCUGCAAGCAUCUGCCUUUGUAUUUGUCUGACAGCCAUAUCAGGCUCCUCUCAGUAAAGCACUUCCCUGGCAUUCACAAUAGCAUCCAGGUUUGGUGAUUGUAUAUGGGAUGGAUCCCCAGUUGGGGCAGUCUCUGGAGGGCCUUUCCUUCAGUCUCUGCUCCACAUUUUGUCUCCAUAUAUCCUCCUAUGAGUAUUUUGUUUCCCCUUCUAAGAAGCACUGAAGCAUCCACACUUUUGUCUUCCUUCUUUUUGGGCUUCAUAUGGUCUAUGAAUUGAAUCUUGGAUAUUCGGAGCUUUUAGGCUAAUAUCCACUUAUCAGUGAGUGCGUACUGUGUGUGUUCUUUAGUGACUGAGUUACCUCACUCAGCAUGAUUAUUUUCAAGUUCCAUCCAAGACAUAUUUUCAAAGUUUGAGCCUAUCCAAAAAUAUGUUUAAUACCUGAGAAAGUGGGCUUCCCACAGCUUUCUGGGUGUUCUGUAUCAGCUUAGAUAUGUCUUAGUUCCUUCUUCUGUUGCUGUGAUAAAAUACCUCACAAGAGCAACUUAUGGAACAAAAGGUUUCCUGGGCUCAAGUUCCUUGUGGGAAAGUCAAGGCAACAGGCAUUUGAGAUCACUGAGCACACAGCACCAGCAGUCGGGGAGCAGAGAGUGGUGACCACACAGCAUGGGCUGUUGGGAAGUGGAGAGACGUGAAUGUUCUUGCUCAGUUCCCUCUUUAUGUACAUCAGGACUCAGGCCUGGAGAAUGUUACCAAUCUUUACGUGGGGUCUUCCCACUUCCACUAACCUAGUCAAGAUGGUCCCUUGCAGGCAUGUCCACACAUACACACAUGUACAUACAAACACAAAGUAAGUGACUUUGAUUUUAUCAUUAAUUGAAUUAGCCCUGUAGGUUUCACACAGAACAGGGGAGCGAAGGAGGUUUUGUAGUUCUGCCUUUGGUGAGAGAAAAGCAGGCAGACUCUGGUAUUGUAGGUGCUCUAGGGUUAUGUGCACUGGUGAAUCUGGUUCUAAUGGGAGAGUUAACUGCUUGAUCAACUGAAUGCUUUUGUGAGACAUCAAAGAUGUGCUCAGUGUGUUCAUUGGAGAGACCACUGCUGUGUAUAUCUCAGUCAAGUACAGUUUUAUUUAUUCACUUAUUUGUUUAUUUAUUCAUUGUUUUGAUGCAGGGGCAUAACUGUGUAGCCCUGGCUGUUCUGGAACUCUGUAGACCAGGCUGGCCUCAAACUCACUCAAACUCACAGAGCUGCCUGCCUCUGCCUCCUGAGUGCUGGGCUUAAAGGUAUGGCACCACUGCCCAACUGGCUCAUUUACUUC
rnacentral:lncRNA from 1 species